rnacentral:rRNA from 1 species
GACGAACGCUUGCGACGUGCCUAAGAAAUGCAAGUCGAACGGGGUAGCAAUACCUAGUGGCGAACGGUCGCGUAACACGUGGGCAACCUGCCCUGAAGCGGGGGACGAACAAGUACGAAAGAAUUUGUCUAAUAACCGCCAUGUGUCUCGCUGCGGCAUCGCAGAGGGGACGAAAGACCGCCAAGGCACUUCAGGAGUGGGCCCGGCCGGCCUAUCAGCUUGUUGGU